UGGUAGCAUUCUGCACAUUUUAAAUAUAUUCUCCUUCACUCAGAUAAACAAAUACAAGUGUCACAGCUGGACAUCACUCUAUUCAUGUUCUCUGUUAAACUUUGGAUAUCAGAGAAGACCCCAGUACAAAUAACACACACCAGGUUCUCUACAUCUCCACUGCUCCUGUUGGCAGCUGCUUCCUGUGUUUACUGUGUUCAACUGAUUCAACCUGAAACAACGAUUUUAUCCCCUGGUCAGUCAAUGACUCUGACCUGUAAAGUGUCUGGAUAUUCAGUAAGUGAUGGCAGCUACUGGACACACUGGAUACGACAACCUGCAGGAAAAGCUCUGGAGUAUAUCGGACAAAUAUCUGGUAGUGGUAGCACUUACUACAGUGAGAAACUGAAAAGCAGGUUUCAGGUUUCCAAAGACACGUCCAGCAGCACAGUAACAUUAACAGGGCAGAACAUGCAGAUUGAAGACACAGCUGUGUAUUACUGCGCCCGUAAACCACAGUGAGA